CACUAAGAAGCUAAACUGGCAAGCCCUAGCCUUUUAAGCUAGUAUUGGGGAACACGCCAACCCCCUUAGUGG
rnacentral:tRNA from 1 species